UUAGAUCUCAAAUCAGGCAG
rnacentral:rRNA from 8 species